CGUGUAGGCGGUUUAGCAAGCCUGGUGUGAAAUACUCCAGCUCAACUGGAGGAACGCGCUGGGAACUGUUAGACUAGAGUAAUGGAGGGGGAGUUGGAAUUCCAGGUGUAGGGGUGAAAUCUGUAGAUAUCUGGAAGAACACCGGUGGCGAAGGCGAACUCCUGGCCAAAAACUGACGCUAAUGCGCGAAAGUGUGGGGAGCGAACAGGAUUAGAUACCCUGGUAGUCC
rnacentral:rRNA from 1 species